GCAUCGAUAUAGCUCAGUGGCAAAGCGGUGGGGCAUUUACCCAUGCGGCCCGGGUUCGAUCCCCGGUCGAUGCA